GCUCCAGUGGCGCAAUCGGUUUAGCGCGCUGGUACUUAUAAUGCCGAGGUUGUGAGUUCGAGCCUCACCUGGAGCA